GCUUGUCUCAAAGAUUAAGCCAUGCAUGUCUAAGUACAAGCCUCAGUAAGGUGAAACCGCGAAUGGCUCAUUAAAUCACACCUAAUCUACUGGAAAGUUACUAGUUACUUGGAUAACUGAGGUAAUUCUUGAGCUAAUACAUGCGAAAAAUCUCGACUCACGGAGAGAUGCUUUUAUUAGAUCAAAACCAAACGGCUUCGGCCGUCUCAUUGGUGACUCUGAAUAACUUUGGGCUGAUCGUAUGGCCUUGUGCCGACGAUGCAUCGUUCGAAUAUCUGCCUUAUCAAAUUGUCGGUAGGAUAGAGGCCUACCGAGUUGACAACGGGUAACGGGGAAUAAGGGUUCGAUUCCGGAGAGGGAGCCUGAGAUACGGCUACCACAUCCAAGGAAGGCAGCAGG
rnacentral:rRNA from 1 species